CUUGUGGAGACAACAUCAUCAUGAAAAAGAAAACAGAGAUUCUAAUUAUCAGUUUUUUCUUGAUAGUUGUGCGUUGAAAACUAGAUAUUGCCUGAUAUUUUUUCCCCACCAAAUUUCAAAUUGUAUAGGCCAGUGAUACUUCACAGUUUUCCUGGAUGUCGCACUGUAUGAUAGUGCAUUAGUAUUCUCGUGUGAUUUUACUUUAUUGAAACAUUAACAAGUUGCAUUUUUGUUAUGUAGAGGAUAUCUGAUAUUUGUAAGAAAGCGGGAUAUUGGCUCGUAAUUGAUAACACAUGGGUUUAGCGUAAAUUGUUCUAUCAGAAUUCACUAUUCAGAGAUGGAAGAUAAAUCAAGUCGAACAACCAAUGUCGCACCUCUGGCUCUUACUGAGUCUCUUGAUUCAACACCGGAAUCAAUGGCUGUGAAGAGGAAAGCUAUUGAAUCAAGAUCUGCUGCUUGGCCGCACUAUGAUAAGCUUAUAGAAGAUGGAAUUAAUAAAGCAAAGUGCAAGCAUUGUGGUAAAGUUCUCUUAGCUGAUUCAACUAAAAAUGGAACAAGUGGACUGAAUAAACAUUUGAAAACUUGUCCUAAAAA